ACCUAGCGCAAUAUUGCCUGCGCUGGCUGGCAGUGGCUAUCCCGGAGGCAAGGCAUGCUUCUCUCCCAUCCCUACCCAGAGACUGAACCUUGGACCUUCUGCAAGCCAAGCAGGUGCCCGGCCACCAAGCCACAAAUCUUCCCCUUCUCUUGGCUCCGACGCCCUUCCUCAGCUUUGCCGCACUGGCUUCGAAAGCGAUUGGCCAAAGUAACGCAGAGGCGAAAGAAGUCUGGGAAUGAGCAGCUGAUUCCCCAGGAGAAGAAAUCAGGGGUGCGCAGGAGGAAGAAGGAGACUCCCCGUCGGUCGGCGCCAAGCAGACUGAGACGCCUGUUGGGAGGGGAAAGUCCAUUGCUCUCUGCGGUAAACUCUCCUCCCGUCGCAGGACAAAGGCAGCUCCCCUGUGUGCAUUCCAAGGAGAUCAGCUGGACAUCCCAGCGCUGCUUUUGAUUCCGUCUAGAAACCUAUCUUUUCAAGAUAAUUUCUUUCACAAAACAAAGUAAGGGGGGGCGGUUGGGGUGGAAGACAAAAGUCUGUUUCCCAUUUGGUAGGUGACCUGUUUAAUGUUUUCUCUGUGUCUGGGAACUCCUUAGUGUAAUUAGGGACCUUUGAACUCCCCAACUAAUCCGGAGCUAUUUUGUAUUCCUGACUCAUCUUGAAGGCUGGACCUUUCUUUUCUUCCGAGUCUGCUGCCACAAUUAAAGAAGAAACAGCUGCAUUUCAAAGAGAUUCCAAUUCCAGAAGCUAAAUCGUGAUUGACACGUUCUUAUUCUAAGCUAUAAGAAACUCGUAAGAGUCCUUUCUUGGGUUAAAACUUCAAUCACUUUCUAAAAAAUUAUCUCAAUAUGGAUUUUAUUCAUUUUCUUUGAUAGCCAUUCUUUGCAGAGAUACACACACACACACACACACACACACACACUGCGUUGGUGGCGAAUAUGAACUGCUAGCAUAAGGGUGUCUUGGGACCCUGAGCCAUCUUCUAGAGACAGCAAUGGGCAAAUUCUGUUUAGUGUCAAAAAUUACGAUUAGGGAAUCAGACACCUGCCACAUAGCCUAGCAUGGUUCCAGACAGCCAAAAGAUGAAGGAAGUGGGACGUUCUUGAAGUCAGACGGCGAAGGCUUGUCAUCAACCCAACAGUGAAAGCCGCCAAUCGGAAUUCACAUUUUUACCAGUUUAGGAAUGUAUAGUCUCUUAUUCCAGUUUAGCAUAACUUCCUUCGGUUCCUUAACCCAAGGAGCAGUAGUUUUGCAAAAAUGCAAAUUAUUAGUCAUUAAUCCCCCCCCCCCAAAAAAAAAUCUCUGAAUGUCUGCUUUGAAACAGCUAGCAAAAUACAUAAGGUUUUGAGAUAACGCUGGCAGCCGUUUUCUGGAACAGGAAGCAACACAGGUGGCCAAACUGAACAGUUGGAAGUAAGGAAUUGUGGAAAUAGCCAGGAUCCUUAAAUGGCUGCUCUGGGUUUACUAAAAAAACAACCUUUUACAGAAUGUGCAGCCAGAAUCCAAAUGCAUAAAAUUCACUUGAGUUCAAUUUCCAGAUUUGUUUUGGGCAAUGCAGAUGCUUAUUUAAGAUCCGGGGGGUAGCUGUCCACAUGCUGCUGUUCUGCUUUCGGCUUGCAGUGUCUCAAAAGGAGCUUGCCUAAGGGAGAAAAUUAACUAGCCUGCAAUCCUAUACUCGCCUUCAGCAGGACGUACUGUGUAGACGUGUAUAGAACUGCACUGUUAGCUUUUAAUUUUAGUAUUGCAUUUAUAUCACGCCCUUCCUGCAAAGAGCAUACAUGCUUCUCCCCUGCCCUCUCUAUUGUACCCUCACAACAUCCCUGCGAGGUUGGCUAGGCUGAGAGAUAGUGACUGGCCCAAGGUCACCCAGUGAGCUUCAUGGCUGAGCGGAAAUCUGAACACUGGUACAGUGGUGCCCCGCAAGACGAACGCCUCGCAAGACGGAAAACUCACUAGACGAAAGGGUUUUCCGUUUUCUGAGCUGCUUCGCAAGACGAAUUUCCCUAUGGGCUUGCUUUGCAAGACGAAAACGUCUUGCAAGUUUGUUUCCUUUUUCUUAACACUGUUAAUACAGUUGCGACUUGACUUCGAGGAGCAACUCAUAGAACGCAGUGUACAUAGUAGCCUUUUUUGAGGUUUUUAAAGACUUUGGUGAUUUUUGAAGCUUUUCCAAAACUUCUUUUGCAGCCAUUUGGUAAGUUAAGCUUUUAAAACUUUUGGGGGGCUUUGGAUUUUGGGUUGGGGUGUUUGGAAUUCAAGGACUUGGUGUUGGGGAGGGGUUUGCAAGAAUCUGGAAGCUUGUUUUUUUCCCCUGCAUUUUUAUGAUUUUCUGUGACCAUUGGGCAACUCUGCUGUUUUUUAAAAAAAAUUCUGGGUUUGAAUUUUGAAAUGCUCUUUACAGUAUGUGUGACUUUAAAGAGCACUUAAUAAACUCUUGUUGUACCAAAUUUGGCUUUG
rnacentral:lncRNA from 1 species